CACAAAGUUCUGUUCAGUUGAGGUCCCGACAGCGUUUAAGAAGGUUUAUUCAACUAGUGACAUAUAAUAACUUAUUUUCUUUCAAAAUGUACAGCACAAAUACAUUAUUGUUUGGCCUUUUGAUAUUACUUGUGACUGUGAUAAGCGUGCAGUCCAUAAAAUGUUACGAGUGUACGGGAUGCAACGACCCUUUCAACGAUAACAUAGGUUCUACAAGUGAAUGCUUAGGGUCAUGUAUAAAGGCCAAAGCUUACGGGAUUAUGGUCAGAAGCUGUUCAGAUGACAAUCAAGGCGACAAGUGUACGGAAAAUGGCGAUACGUUUUUAUGUUCGUGUACGUCUGAUUUGUGUAACAGUGCGUCUGGAUUUAAAGUUUCAUUUUCUGUCGUCUGCAUAUCCGCUCUCAUAUUGUUCCUAAGGCUGUUCUAAACGAACAAACGAUUCAUAUGGAAACAUAAUAUGUUUUAAGUAGUGUUGACAGACUUUCUUCUAUCGCACGUGUGUCUUUUUUCCUGUCAUUUUUCAGGUAUUUUCUGAGCAUUGAAUCAGGACAUUCAAAGUGUUGGCAAUGUAAAAUACCAAUGCCAUCAAAUUUUAAUUCAGAAAUUGUUUUUAAUUAUGGAACACACCAAUACGGUCAAGACAAAAUAUUAUGCAUUAAUAAAAGAAUGUUUUAGUACCCUCGUUUUUGUUUGUUUUCCUACUGGAUAACUAACCGAUGAUCCUUUUAUUUUCAUAUGUAGAAAGAAAGAAGCUUUAUACACGUUAAAUCUGAAUAUUGAAUUAAAGUUGAAUGUUGAGCCUGGUCGUAGUUAAAAAUGCAAAAUUAACAUAAGUUAAAGUUUUUGCUGGGAUUGAAUUUCGAACCAUCGAAAAUAAUUUCUUUCUAAAGAUCGAAAUUUAAAUUUACAUCUGUACUUAUGUACAUAUACAUGCAAUAAAAGAUCGACAGUUUGUCAUAUAAUAAAUAUCUGUAAAUUUAUUAAAGAAGCAUUUACUGUUAGAAAUGAUGUCUUAUAUAUGUACACUUGUUCUGAUCACUAUGAAUAUAUAUGUAUAUUUGUUGAUAAAUAUAGUUUCAUGCUAAAUUGUUUGAUAUGUUUGUA